CCCUUAGACGUUCUGGGCCGCACGCGCGCUACACUGACACAGGCAACGAGCUUUCCUUUACCGAAAGGUAUGGGUAAUCUUUUGAAACUGUGUCGUGCUGGGGAUAGAUCCUUGCAAUUUUUGAUCUUAAACGAGGAAUUCCUAGUAAGCGCGAGUCAUCAACUCGCGUUGAUUACGUCCCUGCCCUUUGUACACACCGCCCGUCGCUACUACCGAUUGAGUGGCUUAGUGAGGCCUCAGGAUCCGCGCUUAAUGUGUGGAGAAUUUGGACAAACUACGUCAUUUAGAGGAAGUAAAAGUCGUAACA
rnacentral:rRNA from 1 species